UUUGGAUUAGGUAAGCCAGGUAACUCAAACAUAUCCAGGGUAUGUUGAGCUGGAUUCGUAGUACAGGCCUCUGCUCUUCUCCCCCUUUCUUCACUCCAGGUAAUCACAGCUGAUCAGUACCUGCCUGGGCACCUCAGACCGACUGCUGAUUGGAUCCCCUCACCCUCAGCUGGCCUAUUAGCAGCCAGAGCCAGUCGUAAAGGAGGCAAUCCAGGAAGCCUUCUCGCUCUCUGACCUGUGCCUGCUGAUCACUCCAGAGCCUCUGCUGGAUAUGAAACAAGGGGAGGAGCUGCAGACAGGUGAGGGCGUUAAAGUGAACGUAUGAAGUCAGACUGCCAGACGACCAUUUUACACCUGGACAGAGAGGAGGAGGACAACGGGUGUUACUGGUUUAUCUCUCAGGUGGAGAAGAUGAGGAAGAGGACAGAUCUCCAGUCUCCAGCUGUCUGUCUCUGAAGAGUGAGCGGUCUAAAGGAACACUUCCAGACUUCAUUAACGAUCCUGGACCCUCAGACACAGAACAGAGAGCAGAGUCUCCAUUCUCCAGCUGUCUGUCUCUGAAGAGUGACCAGUCUAAAGGCUCUCCUCUAUACUUCAGUAAUGAACCUGGACCCUCAGACACAGAGUAAGAGUCUGUUUCUACUCUAAACUGACCUGAAGAGGAUUCAGUGUUUAUGUUACCUGAUUAUCUAAUCUGUUCUUUAAUAACUACAUGAGUGCAGUUCAGGAAUAAUCACAGUUGUUUACAGCAAAGAAACACAUUUGAAGUCAGUAAAGAAGCAAAGCAGAUUACAGUAAAAGUAAAGUACAGUUAAAACACAGUAGAGUACAGUAAAGAAACGCAGUAACCGUUAUUCAAAGAUAUUUCAGAAAUAGUUCUCACAUUACAAUUAAUACUUAAGAAUGAUCAGUCAAUUGCUUUUUGCAAUGGUGUACACUUAUUAUUAACCUGUUGUUGUAUCAUUAUAUUUGUGGCAUAAAACGGUUUUAAAAUGACAAUAAUGAUAAAAUGAGAAUAUUGACAUGAAUUUAUUAUUUCCAUCCAUCUUCUCCCGCGUAUCCGUGGUCGGGUCGCGGAGGUAGCAGUUCCAGCAGAGAGCCCACAUGUACC